rnacentral:rRNA from 1 species
UGCUGUGAGCUCGAUGAGUAGGGCGGGACACGUGGUAUCCUGUCUGAAUAUGGGGGGACCAUCCUCCAAGGCUAAAUACUCCUGACUGACCGAUAGUGAACCAGUACCGUGAGGGAAAGGCGAAAAGAACCCCGGCGAGGGGAGUGAAAAAGAACCUGAAACCGUGUACGUACAAGCAGUGGGAGCACCCUUUUGGGUGUGACUGCGUACCUUUUGUAUAAUGGGUCAGCGACUUAUAUUCUGUAGCAAGGUUAACCGAAUAGGGGAGCCGGAGGGAAACCGAGUCUUAAUUGGGCGUUAAGUUGCAGGGUAUAGACCCGAAACCCGGUGAUCUAGCCAUGGGCAGGUUGAAGGUUGGGUAACACUAACUGGAGGACCGAACCGACUAAUGUUGAAAAAUUAGCGGAUGACCUGUGGCUGGGGGUGAAAGGCCAAUCAAACCGGGAGAUAGCUGGUUCUCCCCGAAAGCUAUUUAGGUAGCGCCUCGUGAAUUCAUCUCCGGGGGUAGAGCACUGUUUCGGCUAGGGGGCCAUCCCGGCUUACCAACCCGAUGCAAACUGCGAAUACCGGAGAAUGUUAUCACGGGAGACACACGGCGGGUGCUAACGUCCGUCGUGAAGAGGGAAACAACCCAGACCGCCAGCUAAGGUCCCAAAGUCAUGGUUAAGUGGGAAACGAUGUGGGAAGGCCCAGACAGCCAGGAUGUUGGCUUAGAAGCAGCCAUCAUUUAAAGAAAGCGUAAUAGCUCACUGGUCGAGUCGGCCUGCGCGGAAGAUGUAACGGGGCUAAACCAUGCACCGAAGCUGCGGCAGCGACGUUUAUGCGUUGUUGGGUAGGGGAGCGUUCUGUAAGCCUGCGAAGGUGGCCUGUGAGGGUUGCUGGAGGUAUCAGAAGUGCGAAUGCUGACAUAAGUAACGAUAAAGCGGGUGAAAAGCCCGCUCGCCGGAAGACCAAGGGUUCCUGUCCAACGUUAAUCGGGGCAGGGUGAGUCGACCCCUAAGGCGAGGCCGAAAGGCGUAGUCGAUGGGAAACGGGUUAAUAUUCCCGUACUUGGUGUUACUGCGAAGGGGGGACGGAGAAGGCUAUGUUGGCCGGGCGACGGUUGUCCCGGUUUAAGCGUGUAGGCUGGUUUUCCAGGCAAAUCCGGAAAAUCAAGGCUGAGGCGUGACGACGAGGCACUACGGUGCUGAAGCAACAAAUGCCCUGCUUCCAGGAAAAGCCUCUAAGCAUCAGGUAACAUCAAAUCGUACCCCAAACCGACACAGGUGGUCAGGUAGAGAAUACCAAGGCGCUUGAGAGAACUCGGGUGAAGGAACUAGGCAAAAUGGUGCCGUAACUUCGGGAGAAGGCACGCUGACACGUAGGUGAAGUGAUUUACUCAUGGAGCUGAAGUCAGUCGAAGAUACCAGCUGGCUGCAACUGUUUAUUAAAAACACAGCACUGUGCAAACACGAAAGUGGACGUAUACGGUGUGACGCCUGCCCGGUGCCGGAAGGUUAAUUGAUGGGGUCAGCGCAAGCGAAGCUCCUGAUCGAAGCCCCGGUAAACGGCGGCCGUAACUAUAACGGUCCUAAGGUAGCGAAAUUCCUUGUCGGGUAAGUUCCGACCUGCACGAAUGGCGUAAUGAUGGCCAGGCUGUCUCCACCCGAGACUCAGUGAAAUUGAACUCGCUGUGAAGAUGCAGUGUACCCGCGGCAAGACGGAAAGACCCCGUGAACCUUUACUAUAGCUUGACACUGAACAUUGAGCCUUGAUGUGUAG